GAUGAACGCUGGCGGCGUGCUUAACACAUGCCAGUCGAACGGAAAGGCCCAAGCUUGCUUGGGUACUCGAGUGGCGAACGGGUGAGUAACACGUGGGUGAUCUGCCCUGCACUUCGGGAUAAGCCUGGGAAACUGGGUCUAAUACCGGAUAGGACCACAUUUUGGAUGGUGUGGUGGAAAGUUUUUCGGUGUGGGAUGAGCUCGCGGCCUAUCAGCUUGUUGGUGGGGUAAUGGCCUACCAAGGCGUCGACGGGUAGCCGGCCUGAGAGGGUGUACGGCCACAUUGGGACUGGGAUACGGCCCAGACUCCUACGGGAGGCAGCAGUGGGGAAUAUUGCACAAUGGGCGCAAGCCUGAUGCAGCGACGCCGCGUGGGGGAUGACGGCCUUCGGGUUGUAAACUCCUUUCGCUAGGGACGAAGCGUUAUGUGACGGUACCUGGAGAAGAAGCACCGGCUAACUACGUG
rnacentral:rRNA from 1 species